AGCCAUGAGUAUGAAUGAUGAAAAGGCUGGGGAGCAAGGCAUUACUGCAGAGGGAGAGGCAGACACUUAGGACCUUCCCUAACAAGGAUAGUUAUGUUACGAAUGAUAGGUUAUGUUAUGUAUAUUUUGGGAUGGACUUUGAGAGUCCCUUAUGGAUGA